rnacentral:snRNA from 1 species
GGAUGUGAGAGCGAUCUGGCUGCGACAUCUGUCACCCCACUGAUCGCCAAGGUUGAUUCGGCUGAUCUGGCUGGCUAGGCAGAUGGACCCCUCCCUCCCUCACCGCUCCAUGUGCGUCCCUCCUGAAGCUGUGCACUCGGUCGGUCGAAGAGGACAGCCUUCCCGGAAUAGAGACGGACCGGUCUUCAGUCGAGGGUAUACGAGUAGCUGCGCUCCCCGCUAGAACCUCCAAACAAGCUCUCAAAUGAGCUAUUUUGCUGUCCCCACUGAUGAUGUCUUUUUUUUUUUUAAUUGAGACAGAAAUCGAGAGGGAAAUGGGAAAUAGAGAGUGGGGUCUGGUGGUGGCAUACCUUACU